rnacentral:tRNA from 1 species
AGCCUCAGAGGUGAAGCACACCAAAAUGCAAAUUUGGAGACGCACCCCAACAGGUGCCGGGGCUU